UACGGGAGGCAGCAGUGGGGAAUAUUGGACAAUGGGCGCAAGCCUGAUCCAGCCAUGCCGCGUGUGUGAAGAAGGCCUUCGGGUUGUAAAGCACUUUUGUCCGGAAAGAAAAGCUUAGGGUUAAUAACCUUGAGUCAUGACGGUACCGGAAGAAUAAGCACCGGCUAACUUCGUGCCAGCAGCCGCGGUAAUACGAAGGGUGCAAGCGUUACUCGGAAUUACUGGGCGUAAAGCGUGCGUAGGUGGUUUGUUAAGUCUGAUGUGAAAGCCCUGGGCUCAACCUGGGAAUGGCAUUGGAAACUGGCUUACUAGAGUGCGGUAGAGGGGUGUGGAAUUCCCGGUGUAGCAGUGAAAUGCGUAGAUAUCGGGAGGAACAUCUGUGGCGAAGGCGACACCCUGGGACCAGGCACUGACACUGAGGCACGAAAGCGUGGGGAGCGAAACAGGGAUUAGAUACC
rnacentral:rRNA from 1 species